UCGUGUCAGUUGUGAGUCAGAAAUACGAAUAUUGUGAUGAAAAACAUUUUUGUUGCAAGACCUGUAGGAAUGUCUCGUAUAGUGAUCGUGUUAUUCGUUGCAUUGGCGAUAUUUUCUGCGUGCACAUUUGCAUACCGAGUGCCAUUAAAUUGUAGUCGCGAGAAUGAAGAAUAUCAAUGUGGAUCGGCUUGUCAGACAACUUGCAUCACCUUGGGACAAUAUUGUCCUAUAGCUAAGAUGUAACGAUGCUUGUUAUUGCAAAAAUGGAUACGCGCGAAUUACCAGUGAUGACAGCGCAUGCAUUCCUGUAAGUGAAUGUCCGA